rnacentral:tRNA from 1 species
GUCGCUUUAGCUCACUUGGGAGAGCGCCAGACUGAAGUCACUCAGUCAUUAAAUUGAAAUCUGGAGGUACUGUGUUCGAUCCACAGAAGCGACA